CCCCAAUGUCCCCAAUGACCCCAAUGAUGUCCCCAAUGAUGUCCCCAAUGUGACACUGAUGUCCCCUGCAGGUUGACCGUUCUGUCACGGGUCUGGUGGCCCAGCAGCAGUGCCAGCCCUGUCCCCAAUGUCCCCAAUGACCCCAAUGA